rnacentral:rRNA from 1 species
GAUGAACGCUAGCUACAGGCUUAACACAUGCAAGUCGAGGGGAAACGACAUCGAAAGCUUGCUUUGGUGGGCGUCGACCGGCGCACGGGUGAGUAACGCGUAUCCAACCUGCCCGCCACUUGGGGGAUAACCUUGCGAAAGUAAGACUAAUACCCAAUGAUAUCCCACGAAGGCAUCCGAAUGGGAUUAAAGAUUUAUCGGUGAUGGAUGGGGAUGCGUCUGAUUAGCUUGUUGGCGGGGUAACGGCCCACCAAGGCUACGAUCAGUAGGGGUUCUGAGAGGAAGGUCCCCCACAUUGGAACUGAGACACGGUCCAAACUCCUACGGGAGGCAGCAGUGAGGAAUAUUGGUCAAUGGGCGAGAGCCUGAACCAGCCAAGUAGCGUGCAGGAUGGCGGCCCUAUGGGUUGUAAACUGCUUUUAUAAGGGAAUAAAGUGGGUCACGUGUGACUUUUUGCAUGUACCUUAUGAAUAAGGACCGGCUAAUUCCGUG